UGUUGGACUCAUUAUCAUCUAACUUAAUGGAAGGCUAUGAUCUAGUUAUCACCAUAACUAUUUCAUUUUAGGGACCUAAUAAUUUUAGAGGAUUUAAUUGGUUGAAUUAAGAGAUGAAAAGAAAUUUGAUCAGUUAAUCUUAAUCCUCCCACUGACUUCAUCAAGUUAGAUUAAAGAAGAUAAGAUAUUAACUGAUCCAGUCAAUCAGUCAUGAAUCCUUCCACUGAUUUCA
rnacentral:lncRNA from 1 species